rnacentral:lncRNA from 1 species
UGCAGCCCUAUUUAUACGGACAACCCUUUACACUACUCACGGAUCACAACCCGUUGGUGUGGCUGAACAGGGUGUCAGGAGACAAUGCCAGGCUGCUGCGCUGGAGUUUGGCGCUGCAGCCUUUUGACUUUACAAUACACUAUCGCCCUGGGAAGCAAAAUGGCAAUGCCGAUGGGUUGUCCAGACAAACAGACUUGGAGCCGUGAUCCGUGAGUACUCCUC